rnacentral:rRNA from 1 species
UCGACGAGACCUUCGGGUCUAGUGGCGCACGGGUGCGUAACGCGUGGGAAUCUGCCCUUAGGUACGGAAUAACAGUGAGAAAUUACUGCUAAUACCGUAUGAUGUCUUCGGACCAAAGAUUUAUCGCCUAGGGAUGAGCCCGCGUUGGAUUAGCUAGUUGGUGGGGUAAAGGCCUACCAAGGCGACGAUCCAUAGCUGGUCUGAGAGGAUGAUCAGCCACACUGGGACUGAGACACGGCCCAGACUCCUACGGGA